rnacentral:rRNA from 1 species
UGGGGAAUAUUGGACAAUGGGCGAAAGCCUGAUCCAGCCAUGCCGCGUGUGUGAAGAAGGCCUUUUGGUUGUAAAGCACUUUAAGUGGGGAGGAAAAGCCUAUGGUUAAUACCCAUAAGCCCUGACGUUACCCACAGAAUAAGCACCGGCUAACUCUGUGCCAGCAGCCGCGGUAAUACAGAGGGUGCAAGCGUUAAUCGGAAUUACUGGGCGUAAAGCGCGCGUAGGUGGUUAUUUAAGUCAGAUGUGAAAGCCCCGGGCUUAACCUGGGAACUGCAUCUGAUACUGGAUAACUAGAGUAGGUGAGAGGGGAGUAGAAUUCCAGGUGUAGCGGUGAAAUGCGUAGAGAUCUGGAGGAAUACCGAUGGCGAAGGCAGCUCCCUGGCAUCAUACUGACACUGAGGUGCGAAAGCGUGGGUAGCAAACAGGAUUAGAUACCCUGGUAGUCCACGCCGUAACGAUGUCUACCAGUCGUUGGGUCUUUUAAAGACUUAGUGACGCAGUUAACGCAAUAAGUAGACCGCCUGGGGAGUACGGCCGCAAGGUU